UACGGAGGGUGCGAGCGUUGUCCGGAAUCACUGGGCGUAAAGGGCGCGUAGGCGGCCUGAUAAGUAGGGGGUGAAAUCCUGCGGCUUAACCGCAGGGCUGCCUUCUAAACUGUCAGGCUGGAGCACAGUAGAGGCAAGUGGAAUUCCCGGUGUAGCGGUGGAAUGCGUAGAGAUCGGGAAGAACAUCAGUGGCGAAGGCGGCCUGCUGGGCUGUUGCUGACGCUGAGGCGCGACAGCGUGGGGAGCAAACAGG
rnacentral:rRNA from 1 species